rnacentral:misc_RNA from 1 species
GCAAACUUGGUCAUUUAGAGGAAGUAAAAGUCGUAACAAGGUUUCCGUAGGUGAACCUGCGGAAGGAUCAUUAUUGAAUGAAAUUGGUUAGAUUGUUGCUGGCUCUUAGGAGCAAGUGCACGUCUACCGCCACUUUCACCACCUGUGCACUUUUUGUAGACUUGAGUUUGAUCGAGGGUCAUACCUCGGAUUGGGGACGUGCCAUUAUUGUAUGGCUGUCCUUGAAACUCUUAGUCUAUGUUUUUAUAUACCCCUACAAAUGUAACAGAAUGUUGACUAUUAUUGGCCUUUGUGCCUUUAAAUGUAAUACAACUUUCAACAACGGAUCUCUUGGCUCUCGCAUCGAUGAAGAACGCAGC